AUUGAACGCUGGCGGCAGGCCUAACACAUGCAAGUCGAGCGGAUGAAGGGAGCUUGCUCCUGGAUUCAGCGGCGGACGGGUGAGUAAUGCCUAGGAAUCUGCCUGGUAGUGGGGGAUAACGUCCGGAAACGGGCGCUAAUACCGCAUACGUCCUGAGGGAGAAAGUGGGGGAUCUUCGGACCUCACGCUAUUAGAUGAGCCUAGGUCGGAUUAGCUAGUUGGUGGGGUAAAGGCCUACCAAGGCGACGAUCCGUAACUGGUCUGAGAGGAUGAUCAGUCACACUGGAACUGAGACACGGUCCAGACUCCUACGGGAGGCAGCAGUGGGGAAUAUUGGACAAUGGGCGAAAGCCUGAUCCAGCCAUGCCGCGUGUGUGAAGAAGGUCUUCGGAUUGUAAAGCACUUUAAGUUGGGAGGAAGGGCAGUAAGUUAAUACCUUGCUGUUUUGACGUUACCAACAGAAUAAGCACCGGCUAACUUCGUGCCAGCAGCCGCGGUAAUACGAAGGGUGCAAGCGUUAAUCGGAAUUACUGGGCGUAAAGCGCGCGUAGGUGGUUCAGCAAGUUGGAUGUGAAAUCCCCGGGCUCAACCUGGGAACUGCAUCCAAAACUACUGAGCUAGAGUACGGUAGAGGGUGGUGGAAUUUCCUGUGUAGCGGUGAAAUGCGUAGAUAUAGGAAGGAACACCAGUGGCGAAGGCGACCACCUGGACUGAUACUGACACUGAGGUGCGAAAGCGUGGGGAGCAAACAGGAUUAGAUACCCUGGUAGUCCACGCCGUAAACGAUGUCGACUAGCCGUUGGGAUCCUUGAGAUCUUAGUGGCGCAGCUAACGCGAUAAGUCGACCGCCUGGGGAGUACGGCCGCAAGGUUA
rnacentral:rRNA from 1 species